rnacentral:rRNA from 1 species
CCUACGGGAGGCUGCAGUGAGGAAUAUUGGUCAAUGGGCGCAAGCCUGAACCAGCCAAGUCGCGUGAGGGAAGACGGUCCUAUGGAUUGUAAACCUCUUUUGUCGGGGAGCAAAGCGCGGUACGAGUGCCGUGAAGGAGAGUACCCGAAGAAAAAGCAUCGGCUAACUCCGUGCCAGCAGCCGCGGUAAUACGGAGGAUGCGAGCGUUAUCCGGAUUUAUUGGGUUUAAAGGGAGCGUAGGCCGCAUGUCAAGCGUGCUGUGAAAUGUCCGGGCUCAACCCGGGCCUUGCAGCGCGAACUGGCGUGCUUGAGUCCGCGGAAAGCAGGCGGAAUUCGUCGUGUAGCGGUGAAAUGCUUAGAUAUGACGAAGAACCCCGAUUGCGAAGGCAGCUUGCUGCAGCGGAACUGACGCUGAUGCUCGAAAGCGCGGGUAUCGAACAGGAUUAGAUACCCCAGUAGUC